GGGCAUGUAGUGUAGGGGUUAUCGCGCCUCAUUCGCAGACGAGUCCGGAACUGAACCGGAAUCACGUGAUUGAGGAGGUCCCCGGUUCAAUUCCGGGCUUGUCCA
rnacentral:tRNA from 1 species